rnacentral:rRNA from 1 species
UACGUAGGGGGCUAGCGUUGUCCGGAUUCAUUGGGCGUAAAGAGCGUGUAGGCGGUCCGGUAAGUCCGUUGUGAAAGUCAAGGGCUCAACCCUUGAAUGCCGGCGGAUACUGUCGGGCUAGAGUCCGGAAGAGGCAAGUGGAAUUCCCGGUGUAGCGGUGAAAUGCGCAGAUAUCGGGAGGAACACCUAUGGCGAAGGCAGCUUGCUGGGACGGUACUGACGCUGAGACGCGAAAGCGUGGGGAGCAAACAGG